AGUUUCUUGUCUAUAUAUUUUACGCUACGACACCGCCAACACCAACACCAUCCCAUAUUCCUUAUUCUCUUUCACUCCGACCUUUUCCCUCUUUUUUCUUUUAUUUCCCUUGAUUUCCACGCAUUUCCUACAAGAUGACUUCGUUUGGGUCUUUGGAUAAGCCUUUGGCCUCCAUUGUAUCACCAUUUUCUUCUAACUUUACAUGCUUUCCAACUCUACAGGAACCGAAUCUGAACUUACAAGGCUUCUCUUAUGCAUGCUGGAAGGUUGAAAUUAACGUGUGUUUCACACUCGCACUUUGUGGGUUUAAUCCCAAAUUGUGUCUUCUUCACUCCUGAGGAUUUAUUCGAUCAUACACGUAUUUGGAUUGAUGAUUAAGUUAAUUUCAGUUGGGAACCCAGAAUGGGCUAAGAUACCCAUAUUGAUACCAAAAGGGGUUUUCUACAAGACAUUGAGAAACAUGGCUACUACCCAAUUCAAAGAAACCCUCCGUAGCAAUGAUGGUAACGAUGAUGAUGAUGAUUUCAGAUACCUUGUUGUGCGGCCGGAGAAGGGUGGAAUCGGAGAUGUUUUCCGGUGCUGGGUUUGGCCGGAUGGGGACGGUGGACGGAGAUUCUUCGAGAGCUCCGAGGAGGGUGUUUUUGGUGCGAUGGUUUCGGGAUGCAGAUGGGUCAUAGUGGUGUCAAUUAUGAUUCGAAAAAUUAUAGCCAUUCUGGCGAAACCAUUGGAAUGGACUGGAAAUGUGGUGGAAUUCACUCUCAAUCUUCUGUCUAUGAAUGGCAAUCUCUCAGGAUUGCUCUGCAAUAUCGUACGCGGAGAAGUGGUAGUGCCACGGAGGGGAACAGAAACUUUUAUGAGCAUCGUUGGGCUUUUAGAUGGUAGAAUAGAUCUAUUAAAUGAAGAAAAAAUGCUUAAAGGAAUUACUGUUUUUGUUUCUGAAGAAAGAAGCUUCGGACUUGAAAUGGAAAAUCGGAAUCUAGUGGACCUUUGCGUCAUGGCUUCAAAACUAUCCUAUGAGAACGAAAAGGUCAUUCAGAAUAUUGUGCUUCACCAUUGGAAGAUGCAUUUUGUGGGCUUCUACAAUUGCUGGAAUGAUUUUCAAAAGGACAACUCUACUCAGGUGCUCAUAUUGUGCGAUAAGCCUAACGACGCGAAUUUGAUAUUGAUCAGCUUCAGGGGCACUGAACCUUUUGAUGCAGAUGACUGGAGCACUGAUUUUGACUACUCUUGGUACGAGAUCCCGGAAGUCGGGAAAAUUCACGUAGGAUUCUUAGAGGCUCUUGGUUUGGGCAACAGAAAUGAUGCCAGUAGCUUCAAAGAUUACCUUCAGGCAGAAGCCAGUAUCAGCUCCACUGCAUCAGAUGUUCCGCAUGAUAGCAGAAGUCCAUCUGGGCAUACCAGAUCAACAAUCCCAAACUUUGAUCAAAACAUUGAACUGGAUAGAUUACUUCCAUCUUUGGAAUCUGAACAGUUUGAUGGAGUUACACCAGAAGUAGUGCAGUUGACUGCAUAUUAUGCAGUGAAACAUAAACUCAGGAGAUUACUUAUGGAGCAUAGAAAUGCAAAGUUCGUGGUCACUGGUCAUAGUUUAGGGGGAGCACUUGCGGUUCUGUUCCCUACAGUUUUGGUGCUACAUAAGGAAAUGGAAAUAAUGGGCAGGCUAUCGGGUGUAUAUACAUUUGGGCAGCCUAGGGUUGGGAACAAGCAACUGGGGCAGUUCAUGGAGGCCUAUUUGAUGAAUCCCAUUCCUAGAUAUUUCAGGUUUGUUUACUGCAAUGACAUUGUACCCAGACUGCCUUACGACGAUAAAGCUUUCUUCUUUAAGCAUUUUGGGGUUUGUCUAUACUACGACAGCCUAUUCACUGAACAUGUAUGUACAUUUUCUAACUCUUAUUUCUUGUGGUUUGAUAAGCUAGACAUUGCAAUAUUGAACUUGAACCAUAUUAUGAAUAGACUUCCCUCCAAGAAUACAUUGAAAGUAGAUGAGGAACCGAACAAGAAUUUCUUUGGGAUUAGAUACCUGAUACCGGAAUAUCUCAAUGCUUUAUGGGAGCUGAUCAGAAGCUUGCUGAUGGGCUACACUCAUGGAGUUGAGUACAGGGAGGGAUGGGUUUGCACAUUAGUAAGGGUGAUAGGGCUGGCACUUCCUGGUAUUUCUGCUCAUUGCCUCACAAAUUAUAUCGACUCUGUGAGGCUUGGUAAAAAGAACCAAUCCCUUUGAAGAUUCCAAUGAUUGUUCACUUGGCAAGGACAGAGCAAACUAAGUCCAUUCCUCUACAUGCUGUAGCAUCUUCCACUUCGAGAAAUUUUAAGCGAGACUUAGUGCGGAGAGCGGGGUCAAGUGUAGGAGAGUGAGAUGGAGCGUCAGAGAGCAAGACCGAAAAGCAAAACCCUAAGAGAAAGGGAGAGAGGAAGCUAUCUAUAAGAAAAGAGAGAGAACGAGAGAAUCAAUCUGUCUGCACGUAAGAAUUUCGUUUUGGUAAUUUCAUCCAAAUUUGACGUUGACGAAAGGUCAAAAAACCUCACUUUUAAAGCAAGGCAAAUCUUUUUUUUUUUCCUGCCUCAAAUUUGGGACAUCCGUUCAGAAGCCUUAGCCCUGCUACUCCCCCUCAUUCUCCAACAAUGAUUUUCUUUUGUGCUAUACUAGGGGCUCAUCAUUGCUUAUUAAUCAUUUACCAAAAUUCCAGAGCGUAACAUCAUUACAUUAUUGUAUGGAGAUACAUUGUUUAGUGGCAACAGGGGGCGAAGGACAGAUAUGUGUUGCCAACUACACAAUUAUUUGGUACAAGAAGUUCAAUUAAAAGAAAUCAUUCGAUAAGACGAUACAUGAUGAUGGACAAAAUGUUCAAUCCUAAUAAUGAACUUCGUACAAUUUUGUAUAAAUCAUUUCAUAAUAUUGCUUCAUCACUUUGUGGGAGAAAAGGAAGAACUUACACCUGUGUUCUACUUAUAUGUUAGAUUAUUGUCAAGAAUAGCUCUAAAAAUGUGUUUGAAAUCCAUUUUUAAGUAUUUAAUUCAAAAAAUAAGUCACUUUAAAAUAAAUUGUAGUGUUUGACAACCACUAAAAAUAAUUUUUCAUGUGUAUUUUAAUAAGUUUUUUUUUAUCAAAAGUAGUUUUUUUUAAGAACACUAUGGGCCCGAAGUUAUUAGUAAACAAAGCACCAAGAUACGUAGCUAUGUUUGUUAUGCCUUUUCUUGAGAGGACAAUGCUACAAAGGAUGCAAGAGAUGAUGGAUAUAGACAAUAUAUUUUAUUUAUAUAUAAAAACAAAUCAAUUAUACCCUUUUGAUGAAAAGUUGUUUAGCUCUCCUUGUAACUAUCUAGCAGUUUCAUAAUAGUAUUGGUG